UGUAUAAAAUGUACUGUUUAUUAUUUAUUUUAUUUAAUAUUAGAGGUUUUUGUUACGAUAGGCCAGAUUACGGUCAGCAAUAUAAGAAUUGCUAGACGCUGCAGUGCCGCAACCGAAUACGACGUUCACAUUGAUUAUCAUUCUAUAAUCACAACAUAAUCGCGCUCUUCGUAUUUUUAUAAUCGACGUUUGAUUAAAAUUCGAGAAAUUAUAUUGGAAUAUGGAUU